GUUUCUGUAGCCUAGUUGGUAAAGGGAUAACUAUAGGUUGUUUCUUGGCUCUAUUUUGAGGUCAUGGGUUUGAAUCCCAUCAGAAAAU
rfam:Puccinia sorghi strain RO10H11247 Scaffold_316, whole genome shotgun sequence.